AUUGAACGCUGGCGGCAGGCCUAACACAUGCAAGUCGAACGAGUGGCGGACGGGUGAGUAAUGUAUGGGAAACUGCCUGGUGGAGGGGGAUAACUACUGGAAACGGUAGCUAAUACCGCAUACCAUUGGAUGUGCCCAGAUGGGAUUAGCGAGUAGGUGGGGUAAAUGCUAACCAAGGCGACGAUCCCUAGCUGGUCUGAGAGGAUGUCCCGCCACACGGGAACUGAGACACGUUCCAGACUCCUACGGGAGGCAGCAGUGGGGAAGAUUGGACAAUGGGCGAAAUCCUGAUGCAGCCAUGCCGCGUGUAUGAAGAAGGCCUUCGGGUUGUAAAGUACUUUCAGCUGGGAGGCGUUACCCGCAGAAGAAGCACCGGCUAACUCCGUGCCAGCAGCCGCGGUAAUAC
rnacentral:rRNA from 1 species